UUGGCUUAGAAGCAGCCAUCAUUUAAAGAAAGCGUAAUAGCUCACUGGUCGAGUCGGCCUGCGCGGAAGAUGUAACGGGGCUAAACCAUGCACCGAAGCUGCGGCAGCGACGCUUAUGCGUUGUUGGGUAGGGGAGCGUUCUGUAAGCCUGCGAAGGUGUACUGUGAGGUAUGCUGGAGGUAUCAGAAGUGCGAAUGCUGACAUAAGUAACGAUAAAGCGGGUGAAAAGCCCGCUCGCCGGAAGACCAAGGGUUCCUGUCCAACGUUAAUCGGGGCAGGGU
rnacentral:rRNA from 1 species